CUACGGGGUGCAGCAGUGGGGAAUAUUGGACAAUGGGCGCAAGCCUGAUCCAGCAAUGCCGCAUGUGUGAAGAAGGCCUGCGGGUUGUAAAGCACUUUAAGCAGGAAAGAAAGUUUCAAGGCUAAUACCCUUGGAAAUUGACGUUACCUGCAGAGUAAGCACCGGCUAACUCCGUGCCAGCAGCCGCGGUAAUACGGAGGGUGCGAGCGUUAAUCGGAAUUACUGGGCGUAAAGCGCGCGUAGGCGGUCGGCUAAGUCCGCUGUGAAAGCCCUGGGCUUAACCUGGGAACUGCAGUGGAUACUGGUCGGCUAGAGUAUGGUAGAGGAGAGUGGAAUUUCCGGUGUAGCAGUGAAAUGCGUAGAGAUCGGAAGGAACACCAGUGGCGAAGGCGGCUCUCUGGACCAAUACUGACGCUGAGGUGCGAAAGCGUGGGGAGCAAACAGGAUUAGAUACCCGGGUAGUC
rnacentral:rRNA from 1 species